rnacentral:tRNA from 1 species
GGCCCUGUGGUGCAGGGGUUAGCACACCAGAUUCUCAAUCUGGAAACACGGGUUCGAUUCCCGUCAGGGCUA